GAUGAACGCUGGCGGCGUGCCUAAUACAUGCAAGUCGAGCGAACGGACGAGAAGCUUGCUUCUCUGAUGUUAGCGGCGGACGGGUGAGUAACACGUGGAUAACCUACCUAUAAGACUGGGAUAACUUCGGGAAACCGGAGCUAAUACCGGAUGAUAUUUUGAACCGCAUGGUUCAAAAGUGAAAGACGGUCUUGCUGUCACUUAUAGAUGGAUCCGCGCUGCAUUAGCUAGUUGGUAAGGUAACGGCUUACCAAGGCAACGAUGCAUAGCCGACCUGAGAGGGUGAUCGGCAAAACGGGAACUGAGACACGGUCCAGACUCCUACGGGAGGAAGCAGUAGGGAAUCUUCCGCAAUGGGCGAAAGCCUGACGGAGCAACGCCGCGUGAGUGAUGAAGGUCUUCGGAUCGUAAAACUCUGUUAUUAGGGAAGAACAUAUGUGUAAGUAACUGUGCACAUCUUGACGGUACCUAAUCAGAAAGCCACGGCUAACUACGUG
rnacentral:rRNA from 1 species